UAAGGUGCCAUGGCUCAGCGGCAGAGCCUCUGCUUAGCAUGCAGAAGACCCUAAGUUCAAUCCUUGACACCUCAA
rnacentral:tRNA from 1 species